GGCUGUUUGGGAUGUGCCACUUCUGCUUGUUUCAAAUGCAAACUUCAUCAGGGCAGCUGGCAGAAGUGAUGGCUCAAGCCCUUCAUGCUCACAGAUGUGGUAUCUGCUCACGGCUUUGUUCAGUUCUAUCUGUCUGCUUUCCCAAUUAGCCACUGUACUGCUACCUCUCCUAGCAGACAUGAUGCAAAAUAAAUGACCUAAGAAUUCCCCCCAGCACAUGGCUCAUUAGUGAUGGACCAAACACCAGGAAAAGCACGCAAAGGGCUGGUUCAGCCAAACGAGGAGGGCCACGCAGCAGCCAUAUAUUUCGGUGGAGGUGGCAAAAAGCAAGGGGGAAAUGUGGAAACUGGAACGAUGCAGGAGCCAUGCAAUGGAAUGGAAGAAAAUUUCUGGUGCACACUUACAUUUAUAUAUAACAUCAUGCAGAAAGUCCCAGUGCAAGAGAGUAUGGAAGAGAGGAUGGAUCUUGCUGCUUGUGCCCCAGACCAGCCCCCUCCUUGUUGCAGACUGUAA
rnacentral:lncRNA from 1 species